AACCCUAAUUGGAACCUUAGUAGGCUAGUACUGAGUAUAAGAGGUUCCUCUAUCCACAAACUCUUCUAUAAGAUGCAGCCGCGGCGUCGCAGCUUCAGUUCCAUUGGACAAAUGCUUAGCCGCUUCUGUCUAUCUUAGGAGAAGAUUCAAGAGACAACAAAAGAGAUAGGGGAGAUAGUUCAGGAUUCAAUGGAAGAAGAAGACGUCGUGCCCGACGUCAACUCUAAUGAGGUUGUUUCAACUGGACACAAUGAUUCCUUCCUAAGUUUUGACCUCAAUAAAAUACUAGAAGAGAAUGAGGUCUUUUGAUUGAGAAUAAUUGAUUUUUUGCAUUGGUUUUUAAAGACCAAUUGUGUGGGCUGUAAUUUGAUUUUAUCAGUGGAUAUGUUUGAAUCUUAACAGACCUUCAUUGUUGGUAUUUAUUCAACUCAUUUGGCUCAGGUCACUGGAGACCUAACAUUCUCUUAAUAGGAAUGCUUGGAGUUUUUCUUCA